UGCAGAAUCCCGCGAACCAUCGAGUCUUUGAACGCAAGUUGCGCCCGAGACCAUUCGGUCGAGGGCACGCCUGCCUGGGCGUCACGCUAAACACGCUCCAACCCCCAUCAUUGGGAGUAGGAUGCGGCAUGUGGCCUCCCGUCACGCAAGGGGCGGUGGGCCGAAGAUAUGGCUGCCGGCGUAUCGUGUCGGACACAGCGCGUGGUGGGCGACCUCGCUUUACUUACCGCAGUGCCUCCGAGGCGUAGCUGACGUAAUGGCCUCUAAAGACCCUUUGAACGGUGCGCAUGACGCUCCGACCGCGACCCCAGGUCAGGCGGGACUACCCGCUGAAUUUAAGCAUAUAAAUAAGCGGAGGAGAAGAAACUUACAAGGAUUCCCCUAGUAACGGCGAGCGAACCGGGAAUAGCCCAGCUUGAGAAUCGGGCGGCUAUGCUGUCUGA
rnacentral:rRNA from 1 species